GUAGGGGGCAAGCGUUAUCCGGAUUCACUGGGCGUAAAGGGAGCGCAGGCGGCACGGCAAGUCUGGUGUGAAAACCCGGGGCUCAACCCCGGGACUGCAUUGGAAACUGUCGGACUAGAGUGCCGGAGAGGUAAGUGGAAUUCCUAGUGUAGCGGUGAAAUGCGUAGAUAUUAGGAGGAACACCAGUGGCGAAGGCGGCUUACUGGACGGUAACUGACGCUGAGGCUCGAAAGCGUGGGGAGCAA
rnacentral:rRNA from 1 species